rnacentral:rRNA from 1 species
UACGUAGGGUGCGAGCGUUAAUCGGAAUUACUGGGCGUAAAGCGCACGUAGGCGGAUAUUUAAGUCAGGGGUGAAAUCCCAGAGCUCAACUCUGGAACUGCCUUUGAUACUGGGUAUCUUGAGUAUGGAAGAGGUAAGUGGAAUUCCGAGUGUAGAGGUGAAAUUCGUAGAUAUUCGGAGGAACACCAGUGGCGAAGGCGGCUUACUGGUCCAUUACUGACGCUGAGGUGGCGAAA